UACGUAGGAUGCGAGCGUUGUCCGGAAUUACUGGGCGUAAAGAGCUCGUAGGUGGUUUGUCGCGUUGUUCGUGAAAAACUCACAGCUUAACUGUGGGCGUGCGGGCGAUACGGGCAGACUGGAGUACUGCAGGGGAGACUGGAAUUCCUGGUGUAGCGGUGGAAUGCGCAGAUAUCAGGAGGAACACCGGUGGCGAAGGCGGGUCUCUGGGCAUGUCCUGACGCUGAGGAGCGAAAGUGUGGGGAGCGAACAGG
rnacentral:rRNA from 1 species